ACCAAUCCUGGAAAAAUUAGGUUAAAGUUAUAAAGCUAAUAUAAUUAGAGAUUCUACCUGCAAAACUAUAAACGCUUUCUUGCACUGAAUCAAGAAAUGGCGGCAACGUUAGAAGCUAUAAAUCAAUUCCGCCAAUCGUUGGAGAUACGAAGACAAUUAAUUUUGACAAAACCUCUAGUGAUGGUGGACAAUAUUCCCUGUGAAAUUGAUGAGGGUUUGUUUUUAGGUUAGGUUGAUUCUGCAUUGAACAAGGUUGGUUUGAAAAAUGUGAAUGUUACUCACAUUUUGACCGUGGCUUGUAAACUUCCACCUGCACAUCUUGCAGAUUUCAUCUAUAAAGUUCUAUAUGUUGCUGACAGAGAAACUACCAACUUAAAACAACAUUUCAAUGAGUGUUUUGAUUUCAUCGACGAAGCCAAAAGAAAUGGUGGACAUGUUUUGGUUCACCGUAAAAUGGGAAUAUCGAGGAGGUUUUCUCGCUAUCUCACUUCUUCACAACAUUGUUCACGUCCUUCCUGCUAACUUAGACUGCGGCUGCUUCUCUAUUUGUCAGAAAUGGAAAAUGAGGGUAGGAUUAAUAGUGAACAAUCCAUGAGUAACAUUAGAGCCCGACGUAAUUGGAAUGCAAUUGAAGAAGAAACUUUACUCACUAUAUUAGAAGAGAUGGUGGUUGCUGGAAACAAAGGACAGAAUGGAACAUUCAAGACUGAAACUCAUGAGGAAGUUUGCAAGAGAAUGAAAAAUAAAAUUCUAGGAAUACUUAUCAAUGCCAAGCAAAUUGUUAACAAGAUGAAAAGGUGGUCAACAAAGCUUAAUGAAGUUGUUGACAUGAUGAACACUAGUGGGCUUGGUUGGGAUGACACAAAAAAGUGUGUUAAAUGUGACAGCAGUCAAGUCUUAUCUCAAUAUUUGGAGAAACAUCCCAAAGUUGGCAACCAUGUCGAUAAAGUUUAAAGAGUUUGAGAGAUUGCAAGGUAUUUUUGGCAAAGAUCGUGCAAAUGGCUUCCGAGCUGAUGAUGGAAAUGGAAAUGAAACAAUUGAGAACCAAGUUAGUGAUAAUGAUGAGUUAGUGCACCAAUAUGAUGAUUCACCUAUUUCUGCAGGACCAUCUUCUAAACGACCUCGACUUGCUCAAUUGGCCACUAAUUUUCUGGAGAGUUUUAACAGUAAAAUGGAAGUUGUGUCAACUGAUUUUGCUAAAGCUAUAGGCAAAUUUUCAGAUCCUUCGAAGCCGGAUCCUUCAAAAUCCGACUUGGUUGAAGAGAUUAAGAAAUUGGGAUUAAUUGAUGAAGAAGAAAUUGACUUGGCAAUCAAAUUUUCUCACAACCAACAGUAUGAAAAAUUCUUUUGGGAGUUUGAAGGUUCCCAAAGAAUGUCUUUCGUGAGGAAGAUUAUGAGAAUGUGACAAGGCGUUCAAAUUUGAUGAUGAUAUAUGAAUGCAUGUUAGACAAGUCGCAUUUAUAAUUUAUGUUUUAGUUAAGACUUAUUUUGAAUCUUAUUAACAUUAGACUUGAACUUGGUUAACAUGUUUAUUUAGCCUAUAUUUUGGAUAUUAAU